AACCCGAGGCAAAUCGCCGCCGCUUGCGGCGGCGCCGUCGCCGGAGCACGGCGGAGCCGCCGUGUCAGAAUUGCGAUAUUGGCCGAAGGGGGCUCUGGGUCUAAUCUGGGAUUUUUUGGGACACGUGCAGGUACCAGUAAUGCGUUUCAGUUCCCCAGAAAAAAAUUCAAGAAAAAUUAGGGACAGCCUGUAGGCACACUGUAGAGCCGUAUCCGGACCCCGAAACAAGUAAGGACCCCUCACCCUAUUUCCUAUCACGGUAUUAAAGUUCAAUA
rnacentral:lncRNA from 1 species